rnacentral:tRNA from 1 species
CAGAUUAUGCUUAGAGCAGGUGAUUAUUUACAUUAAUUGUCUACUUGUGCAAUUCAAGUUAAUCUGA